AGCACCAUAAGCGCAGAGGAAGCGCGCAAGGCUCAUAACCUUGAGGUCCCUAGAUCGAAACUAGGUGGUGCUA
rnacentral:tRNA from 1 species